GAUGAACGCUGGCGGCGUGCUUAACACAUGCAAGUCGAACGGAAAGGCUCCUGCUUGCAGGGGUACUCGAGUGGCGAACGGGUGAGUAACACGUGGGUGAUCUGCCCUGCACUUCGGGAUAAGCCUGGGAAACUGGGUCUAAUACCGGAUAGGACCACAUUUUGGAUGGUGUGGUGGAAAGUUUUUCGGUGUGGGAUGAGCUCGCGGCCUAUCAGCUUGUUGGUGGGGUAAUGGCCUACCAAGGCGUCGACGGGUAGCCGGCCUGAGAGGGUGUACGGCCAGAUUGGGACUGAGAUGCGGCCCAGACUCCUACGGGAGGCAGCAGGGGGGAAUAUUGCACAAUGGGCGCAAGCCUGAUGCAGCGACGCCGCGGGGGGGAUGACGGCCUUCGGGUUGUAAACUCCUUUCGCUAGGGACGAAGCGUUUUUGUGACGGUACCUGGAGAAGAAGCACCGGCUAACUACGUG
rnacentral:rRNA from 1 species